AAAAAAACAAAAAUAGAAGAACACUUAUAAUAUGCAAUAGUCUGAUUUCUUUUCUUGUGAACAUUUUCUCAUGAUCAUCAACAAAGGAUAAAGUCUCUGAUAUGCACCAGAUGCAAGUUGAAGGAAGACGUAGAGCAAAGAGGGAAUGGAAGGUGUAUUUUAAAAGACUCAAGGAUCAAGAAAAUGGGCGGAUAGUUACUGCUCAAUAGAAUGGGGCAAAUAAUUAGGAAAUACAACUGGAGUGGUUAACGAAUUUGAAGGGAGGGAAAUCUAUAUAUAAACUUAUAGUAGAAUAAAGAAGGCAUGCGGAAUUGUAUUU
rnacentral:misc_RNA from 1 species